rnacentral:rRNA from 1 species
CCUACGGGGGGCUGCAGUGAGGAAUAUUGGUCAAUGGACGGAAGUCUGAACCAGCCAUGCCGCGUGCAGGAAGACGGCUCUAUGAGUUGUAAACUGCUUUUGUACAAGGGUAAACCUGAAUACGUGUAUUCAGCUGAAAGUACUGUACGAAUAAGGAUCGGCUAACUCCGUGCCAGCAGCCGCGGUAAUACGGAGGAUCCAAGCGUUAUCCGGAUUUAUUGGGUUUAAAGGGUGCGUAGACGGAUUGAUAAGUUAGAGGUGAAAUUUUCGGGCUUAACUGUGGAACUGCCUUUAAUACUGGUGAUCUAGAGAGCAGUUGAGGUAGGCGGAAUGCAUGGUGUAGCGGUGAAAUGCUUAGAGAUCAUACAGAACACCGAUUGCGAAGGCAGCUUACCAAUCUAUCUCUGACGUUGAGGCACGAAAGCGUGGGGAGCAAACAGGAUUAGAUACCCGAGUAGUC